GACGAACGCUGGCGGCGUGCUUAACACAUGCAAGUCGAACGGAAAGGCCCUGCUUUUGUGGGGUGCUCGAGUGGCGAACGGGUGAUUAACACGUGAGUAACCUGCCCUUGACUUUGGGAUAACUUCAGGAAACUUGGGCUAAUACCGGAUAGGAGCUCCUGCUGCAUGGUGGGGGUUGGAAAGUUUCGGCGGUUGGGGAUGGACUCGCGGCUUAUCAGCUUGUUGGUGGGGUAGUGGCUUACCAAGGCUUUGACGGGUAGCCGGCCUGAGAGGGUGACCGGCCACAUGGGGACUGAGAUACGGCCCAGACUCCUACGGGAGGCAGCAGUGGGGAAUAUUGCACAAUGGGCGGAAGCCUGAUGCAGCAACGCCGCGUGCGGGAUGACGGCCUUCGGGUUGUAAACCGCUUUCGCCUGUGACGAAGCGUGAGUGACGGUAAUGGGUAAAGAAGCACCGGCUAACUACGUG
rnacentral:rRNA from 1 species